rnacentral:rRNA from 1 species
UAAUACAGAGGGUGCGAGCGUUAAUCGGAAUUACUGGGCGUAAAGGGUGCGUAGGUGGUUUAUUAAGUCAGAUGUGAAAUCCCCGGGCUUAACCUGGGAAUUGCAUAUGAUACUGGUGAACUAGAGAGUGGAAGAGGGAAGUGGAAUUUCCGGUGUAGCGGUGAAAUGCGUAGAUAUCGGAAGGAACAUCAGUGGCGAAGGCGACUUCCUGGUCCAUAUCUGACACUGAGGCACGAAAGCGUGGGGAGCAAACAGGAUUAGAUACCCUGGUAGUCCACGCUGUAAACGAUGAGAACUAGAUGUUAGAGAACUUCGGUUUUUUAGUAUCGCAGCAAACGCGUUAAGUUCUCCGCCUGGGGAGUACGGCCGCAAGGUUA